rnacentral:rRNA from 1 species
CAGCCGCCGCGGGAAUACGUAGGUGGCAAGCGUUGCCCGGAAUUAUUGGGCGUAACGGGCUCGCAGGCGGUUUCUUAAGUCUGAUGUGAAAGCCCCCGGCUCAACCGGGGAGGGUCAUUGGAAACUGGGAAACUUGAGUGCAGAAGAGGAGAGUGGAAUUCCACGUGUAGCGGUGAAAUGCGUAGAGAUGUGGAGGAACACCAGUGGCGAAGGCGACUCUCUGGUCUGUAACUGACGCUGAGGAGCGAAAGCGUGGGGAGCGAACAGGAUUAGAUACCCCGGUAGUCCCUGUCUCUUAUAC